rfam:Homo sapiens chromosome 13, GRCh38 reference primary assembly.
GCCAGGCGUGGUGGCCCGCGCCUGUAAUCCCAGCUACUAGGGAGGCUGAGGCAGGAGAAUCGCUUGAGCCUGGGAGGCUGAGGUUGCAGUGAGCCGAGAUCAAGCCACUACACUCCAGCCUGGGCAACAGAGUGAGACUCCGUCUCAA